CGAAAAGAACCUGAUUUUUGAGAUCCUCGUAAAAUUUCCAUUCGCUUUUAUUUUUCAGUAGAAAAUUUCCAAAAAUCGUCCAAAAUCGUGAAUUUUCCUGAAAGGAAAGGGAAAAUCUCGAUUUUGACCAAAAUUUAAUUUUUUCUAUAAGCAGUUCAUUUAAAUCCCAAAUUUCACGAGGAAUACAGAAAUGUAAUAAAAUUUGAUGUCAGUUCAAUAGUUGAGUAGCUAUCGCUUACUUCCGUUGUAGAAAAUCAAAAGUGAUUGUCAGUCGCGACGUUAGAUGGCUAGAGUGUCUUUCUCGCUUCUCUCGCUGGCGAGAACUUCAAUCUUCAAUGUCGGAUACCAUGUUCAAUUUUCUCGUUUCUUUGUUUUUUUGGGACCAAACUCAACUCCAAAAUGACAUGAAAGUAUUGCAUUUAUGGAUCUAUUGGGUCAUUGGCAGUCCAAGUUUUGGCAUUAAGUUGUUGAAUAUUUCCUAUUGAACACAACUUCAACCACCAAUCUUUAACUUUACAUCCCAAAAGUUUUGAAUGUGUUACUGCAGUGAUCAAGUUAGCGAAAUUCUUUGGGUGCUGUCAAGCCAAUCUUUGAAAUCUAUGGGUAGUUCCUGCCUCCCAAUAGGAAGCACUCUUUUAUUGAAAUCCUCUCCAUUUCCAAUUCUUUGCUGUUAUUUUGCAGAUAACACAAAUAAUGCUGCUACUCUAGAGGUGACUACCACAUGGGCUUGAAUUUAGGAUAAUCUAGGAUUGAUAGAUCAGAGGAUAAGCCCUCGCCGUUUAUCUUGCCGUAGAAACUGAAGGGAGAUUGCUGAAAAUCAAGACAGAUGACAUGUGGUUUUGCAGCCCGUUUCCAGUUCAAGCUUUUGCAUACCGUCUGUGGUUCUGGACUUCUGGUGUGUUCCUGGACAGUGUUGAUUGUCAAUGCCUUAAAAUUGGUGUCUCCGAAACUAAUUGAAGUAGUCUUAAUUAUGUAGAUGUAGACAAGUGCAUAAUCUGGGCUCCCUUCUUUUCUGUGGCCCCGUUUCCCUAACUAACCACUAACCAACGCCCGCCGGUGGUCACUCACCCGCUGUGAAACCAGGAGGAG